rnacentral:rRNA from 1 species
GGCAAGCGUUGUCCGGAAUUAUUGGGCGUAAAGCGCGCGCAGGCGGUUUCUUAAGUCUGAUGUGAAAUCUUGCGGCUCAACCGCAAGCGGUCAUUGGAAACUGGGAGACUUGAGUGCAGAAGAGAAGAGCGGAAUUCCACGUGUAGCGGUGAAAUGCGUAGAGAUGUGGAGGAACACCAGUGGCGAAGGCGGCUCUUUGGUCUGUAACUGACGCUGAGGCGCGAAAGCGUGGGGAGCGAACAGGAUUAGAUACCCUGGUAGUCCACGCCGUAAACGAUGAGUGCUAAGUGUUAGAGGGUUUCCGCCCUUUAGUGCUGCAGUAAACGCAUUAAGCACUCCGCCUGGGGAGUACGGCCGCAACGCUGAAACUCAAAGGAAUUGACGGGGGCCCGCACAAGCGGUGGAGUAUGUGGUUUAAUUCGAAGCAACGCGAAGAACCUUACCAGGUCUUGACAUCCUCUGACAACCCUAGAGAUAGGGCUUUCCCCUUCGGGGGACAGAGUGACAGGUGGUGCAUGGUUGUCGUCAGCUCGUGUCGUGAGAUGUUGGGUUAAGGUCCCGCAACGAGCGCAACCCU